rnacentral:rRNA from 1 species
UACGUAGGGUGCGAGCGUUAAUCGGAAUUACUGGGCGUAAAGCGUGCGCAGGCGGUUCGUUAUGUCCGACGUGAAAGCCCCGAGCUCAACUUGGGAAUGGCAUUGGAAACUGGCGGGCUGGAGUGUGGCAGAGGGGGGUGGAAUUCCACGUGUAGCAGUGAAAUGCGUAGAGAUGUGGAGGAACACCGAUGGCGAAGGCAGCCCCCUGGGCCAACACUGACGCUCAGGCACGAAAGCGUGGGGAGCAAACAGG